rnacentral:rRNA from 1 species
GGGACACGUGGUAUCCUGUCUGAAUAUGGGGGGACCAUCCUCCAAGGCUAAAUACUCCUGACUGACCGAUAGUGAACCAGUACCGUGAGGGAAAGGCGAAAAGAACCCCGGCGAGGGGAGUGAAAAAGAACCUGAAACCGUGUACGUACAAGCAGUGGGAGCACAGGUUUACCUGUGUGACUGCGUACCUUUUGUAUAAUGGGUCAGCGACUUAUAUUCUGUAGCAAGGUUAACCGUAUAGGGGAGCCGCAGGGAAACCGAGUCUUAACCGGGCGUUAAGUUGCAGGGUAUAGACCCGAAACCCGGUGAUCUAGCCAUGGGCAGGUUGAAGGUUGGGUAACACUAACUGGAGGACCGAACCGACUAAUGUUGAAAAAUUAGCGGAUGACCUGUGGCUGGGGGUGAAAGGCCAAUCAAACCGGGAGAUAGCUGGUUCUCCCCGAAAGCUAUUUAGGUAGCGCCUCGUGAAUUCAUCUCCGGGGGUAGAGCACUGUUUCGGCUAGGGGGCCAUCCCGGCUUACCAACCCGAUGCAAACUGCGAAUACCGGAGAAUGUUAUCACGGGAGACACACGGCGGGUGCUAACGUCCGUCGUGAAGAGGGAAACAACCCAGACCGCCAGCUAAGGUCCCAAAGUCAUGGUUAAGUGGGAAACGAUGUGGGAAGGCCCAGACAGCCAGGAUGUUGGCUUAGAAGCAGCCAUCAUUUAAAGAAAGCGUAAUAGCUCACUGGUCGAGUCGGCCUGCGCGGAAGAUGUAACGGGGCUAAACCAUGCACCGAAGCUGCGGCAGCGACACUGUGUGUUGUUGGGUAGGGGAGCGUUCUGUAAGCCUGUGAAGGUGGCCUGUGAGGGUUGCUGGAGGUAUCAGAAGUGCGAAUGCUGACAUAAGUAACGAUAAAGCGGGUGAAAAGCCCGCUCGCCGGAAGACCAAGGGUUCCUGUCCAACGUUAAUCGGGGCAGGGUGAGUCGACCCCUAAGGCGAGGCCGAAAGGCGUAGUCGAUGGGAAACGGGUUAAUAUUCCCGUACUUGGUGUUACUGCGAAGGGGGGACGGAGAAGGCUAUGUUGGCCGGGCGACGGUUGUCCCGGUUUAAGCGUGUAGGUGUGUGUUCCAGGUAAAUCCGGUUCACUUUAACACUGAGGCGUGAUGACGAGGCACUACGGUGCUGAAGCAACAAAUGCCCUGCUUCCAGGAAAAGCCUCUAAGCAUCAGGUAACAUCAAAUCGUACCCCAAACCGACACAGGUGGUCAGGUAGAGAAUACCAAGGCGCUUGAGAGAACUCGGGUGAAGGAACUAGGCAAAAUGGUGCCGUAACUUCGGGAGAAGGCACGCUGACAUGUAGGUGAAGUGAUUUACUCAUGGAGCUGAAGUCAGUCGAAGAUACCAGCUGGCUGCAACUGUUUAUUAAAAACACAGCACUGUGCAAACACGAAAGUGGACGUAUACGGUGUGACGCCUGCCCGGUGCCGGAAGGUUAAUUGAUGGGGUCAGCGCAAGCGAAGCUCCUGAUCGAAGCCCCGGUAAACGGCGGCCGUAACUAUAACGGUCCUAAGGUAGCGAAAUUCCUUGUCGGGUAAGUUCCGACCUGCACGAAUGGCGUAAUGAUGGCCAGGCUGUCUCCACCCGAGACUCAGUGAAAUUGAACUCGCUGUGAAGAUGCAGUGUACCCGCGGCAAGACGGAAAGACCCCGUGAACCUUUACUAUAGCUUGACACUGAACAUUGAGCCUUGAUGUGUAGGAUAGGUGGGAGGCUUUGAAGCGUGGACGCCAGUCUGCGUGGAGCCGGCCUUGAAAUACCACCCUUUAAUGUUUGAUGUUCUAACGUGGACCCGU